rnacentral:rRNA from 1 species
CUACGGGAGGCUCCAGUGAGGAAUCUUCCGCAAUGGGCGAAAGCCUGACGGAGCGACACCGCGUGAAGGAUGAAGGUCUAACGAUUGUAAACUUCUUUUCUGAGGGAGCACACUGAGAGUACCUCAGGAAUAAGGGACGGCUAACUACGUGCCAGCAGCCGCGGUAAUACGUAGGUCCCGAGCGUUAUCCGGAAUCACUGGGCGUAAAGCGUAUGUAGGUGGAUGAGUAAGUUGGGUAUGAAAGACCGGGGCUCAACCUCGUGUUUGUAUUUCAAACUGCUCGUCUCGAGUGAGGGAGAGGUAAGCGGAAUUAUGUGUGUAGGGGUGCAAUCCGUAGAUACACAUAAGAACACCAAAAGCGAAGGCAGCUUACUGGAACUCUACUGACACUGAGAUACGAAAGCGUGGGUAGCGAAAAGGAUUAGAUACCCCUGUAGUC